GACGAACGCUGGCGGCGUGCCUAAUACAUGCAAGUAGGACGCACAGUUUAUACCGUAGCUUGCUACACCAUAGACUGUGAGUUGCGAACGGGUGAGUAACGCGUAGGUAACCUGCCUAUUAGAGGGGGAUAACUAUUGGAACGAUAGCUAAUACCGCAUAACAGUAUGUAACACAUUUAGAUGCUUGAAAGAUGCAAUUGCAUCGCUAGUAGAUGGACCUGCGUUGUAUUAGCUAGUAGGUAGGGUAAAGGCCUACCUAGGCAACGAUACAUAGCCGACCUGAGAGGGUGAUCGGCCACACUGGGACUGAGACACGGCCCAGACUCCUACGGGAGGCAGCAGUAGGGAAUCUUUGGCACAUGGGGGGAACCCUGACUGAGCAACGCCGCGUGAGUGAAGAAGGUUU
rnacentral:rRNA from 1 species